CCUACGGGCGGCAGCAGUGAGGAAUAUUGGUCAAUGGGCGUAAGCCUGAACCAGCCAAGUCGCGUGAGGGAUGAAGGUUCUAUGGAUUGUAAACCUCUUUUAUAAGGGAAUAAAGUGCGGGACGUGUCCCGUUUUGGAUGUACCUUAUGAAUAAGGAUCGGCUAACUCCGUGCCAGCAGCCGCGUUAAUACGGGGGAUCCGAGCGUUAUCCGGUUUUAUUGGGUUUAAAGGGUGCGUAGGCGGCCUUUAAGUCAGCGGUGAAAUGCUGGGGCUCAACCAUAGAAUGGCAGUUGAAACUGGGAGGGUUGGGUAUGUUUGAGGCAGGCGGAAUGGGUGGUGUGGCGGUGAAAUGCUU
rnacentral:rRNA from 1 species